rnacentral:rRNA from 1 species
UACGGGGGGAGCAAACGUUGUUCGGAAUCACUGGGCGUAAAGGGCGCGUAGGCGGCCGCUCAAGUCGGGGGUGAAAGCCUGUGGCUCAACCACAGAAUUGCCUUCGAUACUGCAUGGCUUGAGACCGGAAGAGGUUAGUGGAACUGCGAGUGUAGAGGUGAAAUUCGUAGAUAUUCGCAAGAACACCAGUGGCGAAGGCGGCUGACUGGUCCGGUUCUGACGCUGAGGCGCGAAAGCGUGGGGAGCAAACAGG